AUGCACCAUCUGCUUGUUGGGUGCGUUGUGUCCCGCAUGGUGUGGUAUGACAUCCUAUCCUGGUGUCGUCUUACUACACUUCCUCCUGACGGCACCGUGGGCUUCUACGAUUGGUGAGCAACGGCCCUCCAUGACUCCCCAGCAGGCCAGCGCAAAGGCCUAGCUUCUCUCAUUGCGUCGACUGCUUGGGCCAUAUGGAGACACCUCAACGCUUGCAUUUUCGACGGCCUAACACCUUCCACCAUCCUCCUGAUACACAACAUUAAGGAGGAAGCUCGCACGUGGGCCAAUGCCGGUGCUAGAGGGCUUAGUUCGAUCAUUGGUGUAACCUGA
rnacentral:rRNA from 1 species